GAUGACUGAUCAGUGUGACAGAGACCCGAGACAUAUCAUACAGCGUCUUCAUGGAGUUUCAAGGUCACCUUGAAAAAGGAUUCUCAAAAUUCUUCAAAGUGGCUUACUUAAAAGUUGCAGCAUCUCCUGAGAGCUACAGUCCCAAGAAACACAGUUAAAUACGAUUCACAUACGCACGCACGGAUACACACACAAACACGGCAUGGAACGAUAACAAAACGCAGCAGGGAGCCCGCCACUGCCCUCAAAUGCUGAUGAUGAAGCAAUAUGGAACGCCUGGAUGAAGCAACAUGUAACAUGAUCAAAAAACCCU